GUAAGUUGUGUCCCCCGUGUUGCCCUAGUUUGCCUAGACCCAUUCCUCCCUCCACUUCGCCUCGCCGCCGCGAGGUAAGAUAGCUUCGCGCCCUGUUGUCGCCGCGUCCGCCGUGCUCCGGCUGAGCAGCAGCUCGGGCCCGGAGUUGAUCUUCAUCGCUCCCUCUCCCUCUGGUGCACGCGAAGGGAUCCUCCCCAUGCUCCUCUCUGUCUUCGACGGCUCGCGGGGCCCCAAGGAGUCGCCUCGAUGUUGUUUGCUUCCUCUUCUUCUCAGGCAGAACCGGUUCGGAAGUGCGCCGGACUUCAGCAGCUCGCCAUCACAUUCUCAAGCCUCUUUCGACAUCGUCUUCGUGCCCUAGGUACAGGAACCCCUGAUGCAGGAGUUCCCGAUGCCAGCCAGCUGAAGUAGGAGUUCGAUGAGGACAGCGGCAGGUUGCAUGUGACUUAUCCCGAGAACUAAAGGUCGUGGUCGUGAUCGUGGGGCCAGCAUGCGGGAUAUCAUAGCUUUUGUUGUUUAUCUUUUCCUAGCCGGACCAUUCCAUGUUCUGAAUAAUGUAUGAAUGUAUGACUAUGUACUUUAUCAGAUGGAAAGUGUGUUCCCUACUCGUCA